CGUGUAGGCGGGACGGUCAGUCGUGGGUGAAAUCUCCAGGCUUAACCUGGAAAUUGCCUCCGAUACUGCCGUUCUUGAGUGCAGGAGAGGGUAGUGGAAUUCCCGGUGUAGCGGUGGAAUGCGCAGAUAUCGGGAGGAACACCAGUGGCGAAGGCGGCUACCUGGCCUGACACUGACGCUGAGGCGCGAAAGCGUGGGGAGCAAACA
rnacentral:rRNA from 1 species